AUGCCUAUGGACACGUGUCAA
rnacentral:miRNA from 1 species